AACGAACGCUGGCGGCAGGCUUAACACAUGCAAGUCGAACGCACCGCAAGGUGAGUGGCAGACGGGUGAGUAACACGUGGGGAUCUGCCCAAUGGUACGGAAUAGCUCCGGGAAACUGGAAUUAAUACCGUAUGUGCCCUUCGGGGGAAAGAUUUAUCGCCAUUGGAUGAACCCGCGUCGGAUUAGCUAGUUGGUGUGGUAAAGGCGCACCAAGGCGACGAUCCGUAGCUGGUCUGAGAGGAUGAUCAGCCACACUGGGACUGAGACACGGCCCAGACUCCUACGGGAGGCAGCAGUGGGGAAUAUUGGACAAUGGGCGCAAGCCUGAUCCAGCCAUGCCGCGUGAGUGAUGAAGGCCUUAGGGUUGUAAAGCUCUUUCGCCGACGAAGAUAAUGACGGUAGUCGGAGAAGAAGCCCCGGCUAACUUCGUGCCAGCCGCCGCGGUAA
rnacentral:rRNA from 1 species